rnacentral:rRNA from 1 species
GACAGAGGGUGCAAACGUUGCUCGGAAUUACUGGGCGUAAAGCGCGUGUAGGCGGUUUCGUAAGUCAGGUGUGAAAGCCCGGGGCUCAACCCCGGAAGUGCACUUGAUACUGCGGAGCUUGAGUGCUGAAGAGGAGAGCGGAAUUCUCGGUGUAGAGGUGAAAUUCGUAGAUAUCGGGAGGAACACCAGUGGCGAAGGCGGCUCUCUGGGCAGCAACUGACGCUGAGACGCGAAAGCAUGGGGAGCAAACAGGAUUAGAUACCCUGGUAGUCCAUGCUGUAAACGAUGAGUGCUGGGUGUUGCGGGUAUUGACCCCCGCGGUGCCGAAGCCAACGCGUUAAGCACUCCGCCUGGGAAGUACGGCCGCAAGGCUAAA